rnacentral:tRNA from 2 species
GGAGAGGUGCUGGAGUGGUCGAACAGGCUCGCCUGGAAAGCGUGUAGAUGGCAAAAAACCGUCUCGAGGGUUCGAAUCCCUCCCUCUCCG